rnacentral:rRNA from 1 species
UGGGGAAUUUUCCGCAAUGGGCGAAAGCCUGACGGAGCAAUACCGCGUGAGGGAGGAAGGCUCUUGGGUUGUAAACCUCUUUUCUCAGGGAAGAAAAAAAUGACGGUACCUGAGGAAUAAGCAUCGGCUAACUCCGUGCCAGCAGCCGCGGUAAUACGGAGGAUGCGAGCGUUAUCCGGAAUCAUUGGGCGUAAAGCGUCCGCAGGUGGUCUAUCAAGUCUGUGGUCAAAGAGCAGAGCUUAACUCUGUAAAGGCAAUGGAAACUGGUAAACUAGAGUACGGUAGGGGUAGCAGGAAUUCCCAGUGUAGCGGUGAAAUGCGUAGAGAUUGGGAAGAACAUCGGUGGCGAAGGCGUGCUACUGGGCCUGUACUGACACUGAGGGACGAAAGCUAGGGGAGCGAAAGGG